rnacentral:rRNA from 1 species
UACGUAGGUGACAAGCGUUGUCCGGAUUUACUGGGCGUAAAGAGCGCGCAGGCGGUCGUUCAAGUCGCGUGUGAAAGCCCCCGGCUCAACUGGGGAGGGUCACUCGAUACUGAUCGACUCGAAGGCAGGAGAGGGAAGUGGAAUUCCCGGUGUAGUGGUGAAAUGCGUAGAUAUCGGGAGGAACACCAGUGGCGAAGGCGACUUCCUGGCCUGUUCUUGACGCUGAGGCGCGAAAGCUAGGGGAGCAAACGGG